rnacentral:rRNA from 1 species
UACAGAGGGUGCAAGCGUUAAUCGGAAUUACUGGGCGUAAAGGGCUUGUAGGUGGCCAACUAAGUCAGACGUGAAAUCCCUCGGCUUAACCGGGGAACUGCGUCUGAUACUGGAUGGCUUGAGUGUGGGAGAGGGAAUGGCGAAUUCCAGGUGUAGCGGUGAAAUGCGUAGAUAUCAGGAGGAACACCUGCGGUGUAGACGGCUUUCUGGACCACUACUGACACUGAGACACGAAAGCGUGGGUAGCAAACAGG